rnacentral:rRNA from 1 species
GUAGGGUGCGAGCGUUGUCCGGAAUUACUGGGCGUAAAGAGCUCGUAGGUGGUUUGUCGCGUUGUUCGUGAAAACUCACAACUCAACUGUGGGCGUGCGGGCGAUACGGGCAGACUAGAGUACUGCAGGGGAGACUGGAAUUCCUGGUGUAGCGGUGGAAUGCGCAGAUAUCAGGAGGAACACCGGUGGCGAAGGCGGGUCUCUGGGCAGUAACUGACGCUGAGGAGCGAAAGCGUGGGGAGCGAACAGGAUUAGAUACCCUGGUAGUCCACGCCGUAAACGGUGGGUACUAGGUGUGGGUUCCUUCCUUGGGAUCCGUGCCGUAGCUAACGCAUUAAGCGCCCCGCCUGGGGAGU